rnacentral:rRNA from 1 species
UACAGAGGUCCCAAGCGUUGUUCGGAUUUAUUGGGCGUAAAGAGCUCGUAGGCGGUUCAGUAAGUCGGGUGUGAAAACUUUGGGCUUAACCCAAAGCGUGCAUCCGAUACUGCUGUGACUUGAGUUCGGUAGGGGAGUGGGGAAUUCCUAGUGUAGCGGUGAAAUGCGCAGAUAUUAGGAGGAACACCGGUGGCGAAGGCGCCACUCUGGGCCGAAACUGACGCUGAGGAGCGAAAGCAUGGGUAGCAAACAGG